rnacentral:rRNA from 1 species
CCUACGGGAGGCUGCAGUGGGGAAUAUUGCACAAUGGGGGGAACCCUGAUGCAGCAACGCCGCGUGGGUGAAGAAGUACUCCGGUAUGUAAAGCCCUGUCAGCAGGUAAGAAAAUGACGGUACCUGACCAAGAAGCCCCGGCUAACUACGUGCCAGCAGCCGCGGUAAUACGUAGGGGGCAAGCGUUAUCCGGCUUUCUUGGGUUUAAAGGGUGCGCAGGCGGUCUGUUAAGUCAGCGGUAAAAGCCCGGGACUCAACCCCGGCCCGCCGUUGAAACUGGCAGUCUCGAGUUGGAGAGAAGUAUGCGGAAUGCGCGGUGUAGCGGUGAAAUGCAGAGAUAUCGCGCAGAACUCCGAUUGCGAAGGCAGCAUGCCGGCUCCACACUGACGCUGAGGCACGAAAGCGUGGGUAUCGAACAGGAUUAGAUACCCCUGUAGUC